AGCUGGGCAAGCGGCAGCGUGGGGGUGGAUCUACAGUACAGGAUGUGUAAUGUCAACAUGAAGGAUUGGAGCUGGCAGAAGGAAGGGAAGCACUCAUUUCAUGCCAGUGCAGGAAGCCUAAAGAUGCAUCCCGCCCCCACACCCCCUUUGCAUCUUGUCCUCUUCUGGAGCUUUCCCAUGAUGUGUUAAAUGAUUACCUUGUGCAUGGUCCAUGGCAAAACUUCAGCUGAUUUCCUGCCUCUUUUGGAACCUGUCAGCAUAAACCUAGUGAACCACAUUCCACACACAUGUAGGGCGGGCAGAGGCAGGAGUUAGUGGCACCGCCUGGGAGGAGGAGCCAGAGUUUUGUUAGGCAGGAGCAUCUUUGCGCUUGGAGAUGGAAUCCCAUUGUACGUCCCUUUGUGCUCAGCUCUGAGACUGGCCAUCCGUUCAAAGGCUGCAAUCAUCUCGGCACAUUGUGCUGCAGCUGUAGUUGGGAGAAGGCUGCAGAAUGGUUCCAGUGAUUCUGCAGAAGCUCGGCAAUUACAUAAUUGCUAUGUAACUGGAGAGAGCCAUCAGGAUUGUCUAGUUCUCCUGGAGAGAAAGCUCCUACAAUUUGAGGGCUAGAUUGUUUUCCCUUGUUAAACCUGAAGGCUGAUGAGCAAGUACAUCAAGCCACCAGGCUGGAACCGGGGCCUCUCAGGGGCCUGAGAGGGCACAAAAUUCACAAGUACACUUGGCUGAACACUCAGUGGACUUCACAGCUGUGUUAAAGGGAGAGAGAGGGCGAGAGCAAGUCACUGACUCUUGGAAAAGUGGAUUCUUAUAUCAGCCAAACAUGAUAUUGGACUUGCCUCUAGUAUUUGGGACUCUGUUCUGUAUGCAUUCAAAGCAUAGAGGAUUCCAGUCUCCUGCUCCCAGGAAUGGGACUAGCAGAGUUGCACUUGACCACCAAGAGCCCUCUCAGUUUCUGCUGCCUGCUCAGAAGGAUUUCACAGUCUUUCUCUCUCUUUUCAAUUUUUUAUUUUUUGCUUUUUAGGACUACCCCUAGCCUAGGAACUUCCAUAUGCCGCAGGUGCGACCCUAAAAAAGAAAAAAAAAAAAAAAUUAGAACCCCCCAUGUCGACCACUGGCAGGAGUAAAUGGUAAAUAGUUGUUGCUAAGAGUAGCAGCAACCUGCACUCACAAAUGGAUUUGUGAUUUUUUUUUUCUCUUCCUUUUUCAUCCUGAGCUUAAAAAUUCCUCCUUCCUCCCAGUUAUAUUCCUGGGGCUUGCCCUUAGAGACCACGCCGCGUAGUGAUGCUGUAGGCCACAGGGCUAGUGCCGGGCUUGCCAUUAGAGACGUUAACCUCCCAACACAGCCUACAACUCUUUGACCUCACCCUAGCAACGGUUUCCAAUCUGUAAAUACAUUUGUAGGAUGGUCUUCAAGUUCCUCCUUUUCUGUCUUUCUGGCCAUACUCUCCCGAAGUUUACGCAUUCCACUACCUGUCCUUGGAUAAUUGGUUUUUCCACGCAUAGGCAAGGAGAGGAAGAAAAGCAUAGACAACAAGUGCUCCCUAAAACCUUUUAUUAGAAUUGUGAUUCAGGAGAACUGGGGAGUUCACUGCCUUACAACUGAAACUAGGUUUCUGGAGUGGACAGAGGAAAAGCACCUUAUGGUAUUCCUGGUUCUAGUUCUCAAAGGCUUUGAUGCUUAUAAUUAAUUUCUUCUGAAUCCCUGUGACUGGGGUGCUUCUCAGCUUUAUUUCUGCAAUCCUUCCUUCGGAGAACAGCUUAGGUCCAGGCAAGGCCUGCACGGUUUCAUUUGGACACUUCUUGGGGACAGUUGGGAUUUUUGACUUGAAGACCCUGUUUAUGCUCCUGGGCACGCAAGCUUGGAGAAUGGCGCUCGCCGUGCUGAUGGGGGUGGUGACUGGGGUGGUGGUGGUGGGAUGGUAGGAGUGCCCUCACACACCCAGGGUGCCUCCCUUUUCCAGUCGGGUCCGGGCGGUGAAGGGGAAGGACACUCGGUGGAACCUUGGAUCGUCCGCUUUCACCUUCACAGGAGAAAAACAGGACAUACAUAAUGGGGCCCCAAAAUUCUGAACAUAGUGGGCGGGCAGGUGGUAUAAAUUAAAACUGGUGGUGGGUUUUUUAAGUGGUCAUUGAUUAACAAUGUCAUGUUAGUUUCAAGUGUACAGCACAUGUGUAAUUUGGAGAUACAUAUUUCCUUUUUCAUCUUUUCCAUUAUGGUUUAUUACAAAAUAUUGAACAUAGUUCCCCGUGCUAUGCAGCAGGUCCUUGUCGUUUAUCUAUUUUAUAUAUAACAGUAUACACCUGCUAAUCCCAAAUUCCUAAUUCAUCCCUCCCACACCCUGCCCCCUUGGUAAGUUUUGUAUACUGUGUAUGUGAGUCUGUUUCCGUUUUGUAGAUAAGUGCAAAACUGGUGUUCUUAAGAUUGAGAGAAUUCCCGUUGUGGCACAGCAGAAACAAAUUUGACAAGGAACCAUGAGGUUGGGGCUUCCAUCCCUGGCCUCGCUCAUUGGGUUAAGGAUCUGGUGUUGCCGUGAGCUGUAGAGUAGGUCACAGAUGUGGCUCAGAUCCUGUGUGGCUGUGGCUGUGGCGUAGGCUGGCAGCUGUGGCUCCGAUGAGGCCCCAAGCCCGGGAACCUCCAUGUGCCAUGGGUGUAGCCCUAAAAAGACAAAAAUAAAUAAAUAAGAUAAUUUUGAGAAGGAGCACCCUGGUGCCAUGAUUCCCCUUUCCCCAUUCUCCUGUGACUAUUCCAAAUCCUUAGCAAGAUCCCUGGAUUUUCUUUAAAUAAGUCUUCCAGACUUUCUCCAAUAUAGAAAGUUGGGUUUGGGGUUUCUCUUCAAAAUCCCACCUCUUCAAAACCCCAGACUCUCAAUUCUAAAUGUAAAUCGAAGCAACCCAGAAGUGGCAAUCAGUCCCACUGAAGAGCAGUGAAAAGCUGGAAUGGUCUAACUAGUCACACCAGGUGCUGGGUUCUUUGAGAUCACAUCCAUAUUCAUCCACCUGCACUGGCAUCCUAUCAUCCUGGGGGGCGUUGAGGGUCCCGUCAUCCAUGCCUGUUUGACCUUGAGGGGCCUGGAGAUACUGCAUGGGGCGUAGGUGAUGGGGGUGCUUGUUUGAUUUGCAGAUCGAUCUCAUGACCUUUGGAAACAGCAUUUCUUUCUGGUUAGUUCAGAUGCUUCCUCUUCUGCUUUUGGUCAGUGGGGGAAAAAUAUUGCUAAUCUCAUUAUCACAGUAGUAUUUUUAACUAAAGAAAGUAGAUAUGAGAUGAUGGCUUUUAACUUGAAGUCAUAAUGGGGUAGCACAUCAGUGUCUGGUUUAGCCUUUUAGGGUUGCUGUUCUUUCUCGGUUGAUGAAACAGUAAAAUAUGCACAAGCGUAUUUCUCAUCCUCAUUCCCAUCUUUGUUGUUGGUUUCUCGGAGGAUUACCAUCUGCCGGGUAAACAAACAUCCUGGGGUUGAUGGACGGGUCAUCCUCAGGUCCAGUUUUCUUUGUCUCUCUCCUCCCCUGUUCAGUCUCUUCUCGCGUCUUGCCCGUGUACAUAUCCUUGUUCUCAUAAACACAUCCAGUGUCUGUGUCUUUGCUUGUUUGGGCCAUGCUGGCGAUUUCUGCUUUCUCCUUCUUGUCAGCGUCUCCAGGAGAAGCAUGUGCACAAAGACAAAAUGGCUUUCAGUGGAGGCUACGUCCUCAUUUCAGAACUCGGUUGCAGACAUCAAACUGAAGGCCAUUCAGCGGUAUGUGACGCUGGUUCUCUCAGCAGCCUGGAGAUUAACCUCUUCUAAGGCUCUGAGCUAUUUUUGAGGUAGAGUCUGCAACAACAUUAAAGCUAGAACCCAUUAGGAAAUCACUUUCAUCAUCUCUUCUUUUUCCAAAUCAGUGGCUUUUCCCCCCUCCCCACCGCCCCAGAUCUCAUAACCCUUUAAUCUCCUUUGUAGCAGGACAAGGAGACUGUUGGUUGGUGUUUGCAUCCAGUGAAGUCUGAAUCCUUGAUAACAGCUUCGGAAGAUACCACCAAGAUAAUAGAGAACUGGGCAGAGAGAUGAAUUUCAUCUCUGGGUGGGUGACUUCAUGCUGAAGGUGCCCUGCUUUCCUUGGGCAGAACCGUCAUUUUUUUGUUGUUGAUGUUGUGCAAACUAGGCUCAAACUUUCCAAAAGACACAUCGCAGAGAGCCUUUUGUUGCAUUAUUUCUAAAGGCUUGAAGUUUUGAAGGGAAGAGAUUUUGUUUUCCUCUCGGCUACACAAUGGAGCUUUCAGAGAACCUCUUUUAAAAGGAAUAGCUACAGCCUUUGUGUUGAAGGGUGUGCCUGUUGGCAGGGUCUGCUGAUGCAGACAGACUGGCUGGUGAUUAACAAAGGUCAUUAGACUUUGGAAUCUGGCAAGCAGAGUCGGAUGGUAUGUCUUCUGUGUGCGGAAGGACGACUCCCAAGAAAGCCAAGGCAUUCUGGAGGUUCCCCCCCUCCAGCCCACCCCCAAAGGCUGCUGCUGUAGGACAGGGUCUGGUCCAGGAGUGUCCUGCCGUCCCCAGGGCUGUGCUGGGGCGAACGGACCAGCCUAUCAAUCAUGGGAUAAAAGAACCUUCGGAGGUCUUGGUGAAUGACAUGUGAGGAGGAGAAAGGUGCUGCUUUUUCGGAGAGGAAGGCAGACAGUUCCUCCUUUGUUGGGAGCAGAAGUGCCGAGGAGGGGCCUGGCUGCUCCUGUGCCCUGUCCCCCCUGGGAUGCUGUCAGCCCAGCAGCAUCCCAGAGAAGCCAUGUCGCGCUCGGAGGGGAAGCUCUGAGCUAAAAUGGCCGCUCCCAACGCUCAGAGGACGAGGGCAGCUCCGAGAGUCUUAGAGCUUCAGUGACGCAGGAGCUCCUAUCUCUUGAAAGUGUGAUAAACACGUUCAGCAGAGCUGUGGCUUGUUUGGCAGAGAUGAAAGGACGGAGCGUGGGGGGAUGGGGAGCGCACACGGGAUGAUCUGCUUUUUUGCUGUGAAGUGUUCUAAAUGCAGGAGUCGUCUGCACGAUGGAAAAAUUUGUUUUCAGGUCUAAUGGGCUGUGCGAAAGGAGAAGUGGGGUGGGGCCUCCGUGACUGCUGUAAUUUGAUCCAGAGCUGAUAGCAACCUCUUCCACACAAUUUGGGUUGGUGCUGAGACAGAAAAGCUGGUGGGGCUGGGAAGAUGGAGGCUUUAGUGAGCUGAAAGGACUCUGGUGCACAGUUCAAUGUUUAUUGACAAAGGAGGAAUUGCUGGGUGAAAGAAGAGGAGGUGCAGAUAGCUGCGUCUCACUCUGCAAGCUUGGGCUGUCCAGAGCUGGCCUUGCCAGGAGUUAUUUUAGCAGGCUCUCGGCAGGAGCAUUCCUUCAGGGAAGAUCCCCCUGCCAUAGCUCCUUUCGAGACAUGGAUGUUUCUAGACUUUCUUCCUCCUGCAGAAAUCAUUGACCUUGUACCAUAAACAUAGAGAAGGUUCCUCCCCCAUCUACGUAUAGAAAGAUCUGGCUUACGGCUUUCGUUCUUGGACGCCUGGUUCUAGAUUACAGUGACUCCACAGAAUUUGCCAUGAGCUCAGUGAAGUAACUCACUCAUUAAGAUAAUCACUGGGUAUCUCAACUCAGGAUAUAGAUUAACAUAGGAAGGGCUAUGCCUUCUAAUACAUUUUUAACUUCUUCAUGGGGGGCCUCUCCCCUUGAGUUCAUGUGAAGCUAUCUGUAUCUUUCAAUCACACAGUAAACAACAGCACAAAGGUAGCUGGGCAAGUUUUGCUUUAUCCUAAAUCACGUUCACUGCUUUUUAUGGCCAAGUGUGCACGUCACGUUUGCAAAGGGAAGAAGUGGGAAAAAAGCAAGUCCCGCCUUAAAAGCCAUUCUUCCCCUCCGUGCGUUCCUGUUGCCUUCGUGUAAAUCAAGGUACCAAAAAGCACAACUUGGAACCAGAAACUGGAUUGUCAUCUAAAGUUGGUUGUUUGAGAAUCUCAUGAGAAAUAUUUUACGACCUAAUUAGAUUGGAGAAGCUGUUAGGUUAUAAUUGGGAGGUAGUAAAAAGCAAAUAACCAUUUAGCUCAUGGAAAAAAAAAAA
rnacentral:lncRNA from 1 species